rnacentral:rRNA from 1 species
UCAGCCGCCGCGGUAAUACCAGCACCUCGAGUGGUCAGGACGUUUAUUGGGCCUAAAGCAUCCGUAGCCGGCUUUGCAAGUCUUCGGUUAAAUCCACCUGCUCAACAGAUGGGCCGCUGGAGAUACUACAAAGCUAGGGAGUGGGAGAGGCAGACGGUAUUCAGUGGGUAGGGGUAAAAUCCUCUGAUCCAUUGAGGACCACCAGUGGCGAAGGCGGUCUGCCAGAACACGUUCGACGGUGAGGGAUGAAAGCUGGGGGAGCAAACCGGAUUAGAUACCCGGGUAGUCCCAGCUGUAAACGAUGCAAACUCGGUGAUGCAUUGGCUUAUGGCCAAUGCAGUGCCGCAGGGAAGCCGUUAAGUUUGCCGCCUGGGAAGUACGGACGC